CCCGUUGGUCAAGUGGUUAAGACACCGCCCUUUCACGGCGGUAACACGGGUUCGAAUCCCGUACGGGUCAUA
rnacentral:tRNA from 1 species